GACGAACGCUGGCGGCGUGCUUAACACAUGCAAGUCGAACGGAAAGGCCCUGCUUUUGUGGGGUGCUCGAGUGGCGAACGGGUGAGUAACACGUGAGUAACCUGCCCCUGACUUUGGGAUAACUUCAGGAAACUGGGGCUAAUACCGGAUAGGAGCUCCUGCUGCAUGGUGGGGGUUGGAAAGUUUCGGCGGUUGGGGAUGGACUCGCGGCUUAUCGGCUUGUUGGUGGGGUAGUGGCUUACCAAGGCUUUGACGGGUAGCCGGCCUGAGAGGGUGACCGGCCACAUUGGGACUGAGAUACGGCCCAGACUCCUACGGGAGGCAGCAGUGGGGAAUAUUGCACAGUGGGCGGAAGCCUGAUGCGGCAACGCCGCGUGCGGGAUGACGGCCUUCGGGUUGUAAACCGCUUUCGCCUGUGACGAAGCGUGAGUGACGGUAAUGGGUAAAGAAGCACCGGCUAACUACGUG
rnacentral:rRNA from 1 species